CGGGAAUAUUGCACAAUGGACGAAAGUCUGAUGCAGCAACGCCGCGUGCGCGAUGAAGGCCUUCGGGUCGUAAAGCGCUUUUCGGGUGGAUGAGGAAGGACAGUACACCCGGAAUAAGGAACGGCUAACUACGUGCCAGCAGCCGCGGUAAAACGUAGGUUCCGAGCGUUAUCCGGAUUUACUGGGCGUAAAGCGCGUUCAGGCGGUUUGGCAAGUCGGGCAUGAAAUCUCUGGGCUCAACCUGGAGAGGUUGUCCGAUACUGCUAAACUGGAGGGCAGUAGAGGGUGGUGGAAUUCCGGGUGUAGUGGUGAAAUGCGUAGAGAUCCGGAGGAACACCAGUGGCGAAAGCGGCCACCUGGACUGCACCUGACGCUGAAACGCGAAAGCUAGGGGAGCGAACGGGAUUAGAAACCCCGGUAGUCCUAGCUAUAAACGAUGUUGACUAGGUGUUGACGGUCUAAACCCCGCCAGUGCCGGAGCAAACGCAUUAAGUCAACCGCCUGGGGACUACGGCCGCAAGGUUA
rnacentral:rRNA from 1 species